rnacentral:tRNA from 1 species
CAUUGAAUGGCUGAAAUGAAAGCACUGGUCUCUUAAACCAUUUUAUAGUAAUACCUACUUUCAAUG